rnacentral:rRNA from 1 species
AUUGAACGCUGGCGGCAGGCUUAACACAUGCAAGUCGAGCGGGGGAGGUUGCUUCGGUAACUGACCUAGCGGCGGACGGGUGAGUAAUGCUUAGGAAUCUGCCUAUUAGUGGGGGACAACAUUCCGAAAGGAAUGCUAAUACCGCAUACGCCCUACGGGGGAAAGCAGGGGAUCUUCGGACCUUGCGCUAAUAGAUGAGCCUAAGUCGGAUUAGCUAGUUGGUGGGGUAAAGGCCUACCAAGGCGACGAUCUGUAGCGGGUCUGAGAGGAUGAUCCGCCACACUGGGACUGAGACACGGCCCAGACUCCUACGGGAGGCAGCAGUGGGGAAUAUUGGACAAUGGGCGGAAGCCUGAUCCAGCCAUGCCGCGUGUGUGAAGAAGGCCUUUUGGCUGUAAAGCACUUUAAGCGAGAAGGAGGCUCUUAAGGUUAAUACCCUUGAUGAGUGGACGUUACUCGCAGAACAAGCACCGGCUAACUCUGUGCCAGCAGCCGCCGUAACAC